rnacentral:rRNA from 1 species
AUUGAACGCUGGCGGCAUGCCUUACACAUGCAAGUCGAACGGCAGCACGGGAGCAAUCCUGGUGGCGAGUGGCGAACGGGUGAGUAAUAUAUCGGAACGUGCCCAGUCGUGGGGAUAACGUAGCGAAAGCUACGCUAAUACCGCAUACGAUCUAUGGAUGAAAGCGGGGGAUCGCAAGACCUCGCGCGAUUGGAGCGGCCGAUAUCAGAUUAGGUAGUUGGUGAGGUAAAGGCUCACCAAGCCGACGAUCUGUAGCUGGUCUGAGAGGACGACCAGCCACACUGGGACUGAGACACGGCCCAGACUCCUACGGGAGGCAGCAGUGGGGAAUUUUGGGACAAUGGGCGCAAGCCUGAUCCAGCAAUGCCGCGUGCAGGAUG